CAACUCUACAACCUGCUGCCGAGUAAUUCCUUCACCCAACUGAUUUAAGUCCCCCCCUUAGAUUACUUAGUAUGGGAGGUGGACGUCCAUACAUAAUUUCAAAGGGAGACAAACCCAUCCUUCUGGUAGGCGUACUACGUAUUUGCAACAGAGCUAUUGGCAAAAGGACAUUCCACUUGAGCUGAGUUUCCUGACACAUUUUAGCCAACUGGGUUUUU